GAUGAACGCUGGCGGCGUGCUUAACACAUGCAAGUCGAACGAUGAAGCCCAGCUUGCUGGGUGGAUUAGUGGCGAACGGGUGAGUAACACGUGAGUAACCUGCCCUUAACUCUGGGAUAAGCCUGGGAAACUGGGUCUAAUACCGGAUAGGAGCGUCCACCGCAUGGUGGGUGUUGGAAAGAUUUAUCGGUUUUGGAUGGACUCGCGGCCUAUCAGCUUGUUGGUGAGGUAAUGGCUCACCAAGGCGACGACGGGUAGCCGGCCUGAGAGGGUGACCGGCCACACUGGGUCUGAGACACGGCCCAGACUCCUACGGGAGGCAGCAGUGGGGAAUAUUGCACAAUGGGCGCAAGCCUGAUGCAGCGACGCCGCGUGAGGGAUGACGGCCUUCGGGUUGUAAACCUCUUUCAGUAGGGAAGAAGCGAAAGUGACGGUACCUGCAGAAGAAGCACCGGCUAACUACGUG
rnacentral:rRNA from 1 species